rnacentral:rRNA from 1 species
GACGAACGCUGGCGGCGUGCCUAACACAUGCAAGUCGAACGAGACCUUCGGGUCUAGGUGCGCACGGGUGCGUGACGCGGGGGAACCUGCCCUUGGGUUCGGAAUACCUCCCCGAAAGGGGUGCUAAUACCAGUGAAUGUCUUCGGACCAAAGAUUUCUCGCCUUUGGAUGGGCCCGCGUUGGAUUAGCUGGUUGGUAGGGUAAAAGCAUACCAAGGAGACGAUCCAGAGCUGGUCGGGGAAGAGGAUCAGCCACACUGGGACUGAGACACGGCCCAGACUCCUAGGCGAGGCAGCAGUGGGGAAUAUUAGACAAUGAGCGAAAGCCUGAUCCAGCAAUGCCGCGGGAGUGAUGAAGGCCUUAGGGUUGUAAAGUUCUUUUACCCGGGAUGAUAAUGACAGUACUGGGAGAAUAAGCUCCGGCUAACUCCGUG